rnacentral:rRNA from 1 species
UACAGAGGUCUCGAGCGUUAGGCGGAAUCACUGGGCUUAAAGCGUGUGUAGGUGGAUGCCUAAGUACCUUGUGAAAUCCCACAGCUUAACUGUGGAACUGCUUGGUAUACUGGGUGUCUUGAGUCACUCAGGGGCGAGCGGAACAAAUGGUGGAGCGGUGAAAUGCGUAGAUAUCAUUUGGAACGCCAAUGGUGAAAACAGCUCGCUGGGGUGUACUGACACUGAGACACGAAAGCCAGGGGAGCGAACGGG